CGCGUAGGAAUCUACCUGGUAGUGGGGGACAACAGUUGGAAACAGCUGCUAAUACCGCAUACGCCCUAUGGGGGAAAGCGGGGGAUCUUCGGACCUCGCGCUAUCGGAUGAGCCUGCGUUGGAUUAGCUUGUUGGUGAGGUAAAAGCUCACCAAGGCGACGAUCCAUAGCUGGUCUGAGAGGAUGAUCAGCCACACCGGGACUGAGACACGGCCCAGACUCCUACGGGAGGCAGCAGUGGGGAAUAUUGGACAAUGGGCGAAAGCCUGAUCCAGCAAUGCCGCGUGGAUGAAGAAGGUCU
rnacentral:rRNA from 1 species